GCAUUUAAACCAAGUCUAUGGUGCGUUCACUGCUCUGACCCCCAUGACUCUUUAAAAAAAAGAACAUCUGUAUGACGCGCAUAUAAUCACAUGGCUUUAAAUGUGACGAGGAGAAGAAAAGUUUAGAAAUAGUGUGGCUCGGUUUUUCCGCUGUCUUGACAAAGGUCUUUUGACAGCGAUAUUGCAAACACAGCAGCGACUUCCCGUUCACUAUCACUAGGAAGCAACUUGAAAACACAGGCUAGCCAAACCUGGAAACAGGCUAACAGGCUAGGGCUAGCUUUCCAACAGAGGAGCCUCGACCUGCUACAGUAAGACUCCACCUCCUCGCACCCAAGAGUACAGCAGGGUAACAUGUGGCAAGAAAACUAACAGGGGGAAAAAAAGCAUCUCAUCUCACACGUUUACUGUGGGGAGUUGUUGUCUGUGCUGUUGUGAUCUGUCUGGUUGUCCUUCUGGAGGUCGUCCUGCUGCUCUUUGGCCUGCCGGCGUUUUGACUUGACAGGUAGGGCCAGGACCACCAGCAGACAUAGAAGAUGUAACCCAA